rnacentral:rRNA from 1 species
AGAGUUUGAUCCUGGCUCAGAUUGAACGCUGGCGGCAGGCUUAACACAUGCAAGUCGAGCGGAGAUGAGGUGCUUGCACCUUAUCUUAGCGGCGGACGGGUGAGUAAUGCUUAGGAAUCUGCCUAUUAGUGGGGGACAACGUUUCGAAAGGAACGCUAAUACCGCAUACGCCCUACGGGGGAAAGCAGGGGAUCACUUGUGACCUUGCGCUAAUAGAUGAGCCUAAGCCAGAUUAGCUAGUUGGUGGGGUAAAGGCCUACCAAGGCUGCGAUGUCUAGGGGUCCUGAGAGGGUGAUCCCCCACACUGGUACUGAGACACGGACCAGACUCCUACGGGAGGCAGCAGUGAGGAAUAUUGGUCAAUGGGCGUAAGCCUGAACCAGCCAUCCCGCGUGAAGGAAGAAGGCGCUAUGCGUCGUAAACUUCUUUUCCGGAGGAAUAAAAUUUUGUACGAGUACAGAGCUGAAGGUACUCCGGGAAUAAGCAUCGGCUAACUCCGUGCCAGCAGCCGCGGUAAUACGGAGGAUGCAAGCGUUAUCCGGAUUUAUUGGGUUUAAAGGGUGCGUAGGCGGAUUAAUAAGUCAGUGGUGAAAACCUUCAGCUUAACUGGAGAACUGCCAUUGAUACUGUUAGUCUUGAGUACGGUCAAGGUAGGCGGAAUGUGUAAUGUAGCGGUGAAAUGCUUAGAUAUUACACAGAACACCGAUUGCGAAGGCAGCUUACUGGGCCAUUACUGACGCUGAUGCACGAAAGCGUGGGGAGCGAACAGGAUUAGAUACCCUGGUAGUCC